CAAAGAUUACCAUUGGAAGAUGUGGAAGUGCAAAUGCACCACCUGGAUGUGUUGUGGCUGUUCUGUAGGCACUCACGACCCUCUGUGCCAUAGAUGCCCAGGCUGGAAUUGCAGGAAUGGAAAUCUAGAGCUGAAGACUAGAACAGAAGAUGAUGGUAGGGACAGAUGAGCCUGUGACAAGAUAGAUUGAAUAGUAGUAUCUCUAA
rnacentral:lncRNA from 1 species